AUGACUGGGGCAAGCAGAGACGUGCCCAUGAGUCAGGACUGCAGAAGAGCACUUUUUGCAUGGAAAGGAUAUCAAAAAUGAAGUACUCAAAGAGAACUGCAUCAUGAAGGAGAAACUUGGAUUUGUGAUUCAGGCAAGUCCAGGUUCAAAUCCUGGCUCUGCAAUUUACCAGCUGCAGAAACUUGGAUAUUUAGAACAGAUGAAGAUGAUCCCAAAUAAGGAUAUUUGGUGUCCCUGAAGUAGAGAACUCAAAACUAUGGAAUAGAAAGAGGAAGGACCUUCAAGCAUCUCAAAACAGAAAGUAUCAAAGAACUGAAACUCAUCAGAUCACCACAUCCAGACAGUGAGGCUGGACCACUAAUUCAUCAUGAUUGAUUCCAUGCUCCUCCCUAGUUCCUAGUUUCUGUUUUCUUGCAUAUUGUUACAUUUCUUCCCUGCUAUAUACACCUCUAGUUUUAGUAGUUCAGGGAGAUGGAUUUGAGACUGAACUCCCAUCUCUUUGGCUGUAGCACCCUAUUAAAAGACUUCCUCCUCCGUGAUAAUCCUUGUCUCAGUGAUUGGCUUUCUGUGUGGCGAGUAGCAGGAUCUAGACUGAACCCCUGGAUUUUCAGUAUCAGAAGUACUAUCUUGCCCUAAAGUUUAAGUGAUUAAACCAUUAUUACAUGUAUCAGCUAGGUUUAAGGUUUUAAGAAUAAUUGUUCCAUGGAGUUUAUUAUAUCCGCUUUGAAUCCUAGUAGAUUGAAAUCCUAGUUCUCCCACUUUCUUGCUAGAGACCUAGUGUAAAACAGAGACUCCAAAUUUAUCUUAUUUAUGAAGCAGAAAUAAUAUCACCUACUUAUUUUUUAGAGUUUUCAUAAGAUUUAUAAAUAAUAUUAAAUGUUCAGAGUACAUAGUAGGAGUUCAAUAUUAAAUCCAUCUGAUAAUCAAAGGUGUUUAGGAGUGUUCAUCCAAAAAAUAGUUAAAAUUUUCUUUGAAAAUUUUCUCCUGCUUCCGAUUUCUUUAAUCAUUGACCAUACUUGGAAGAGGUGAUCAGAAAAUAGAAACAUAAAUCUAAAUCAUUCUUAACCAAAAUUCAGACAUAAGCAGAAACAUGUCCAUUUAAGUGUAGUUAAUUAUUCUCCUAGGAUCUAAUGUAUCAUAAUGCUUACAAACACAUAUGUAUUAAUAGCAUUAUGUAUGAAUUAAUAUAAAGCAUGCAAGGACAUAGAAUAUGCUCAUUCUCCUGUAUCUGUGAUAGCUGCUGCUGCUUCUCCUUCUCCUUCCUCCUUCUUCUUCCCACUCCCCCUCCUUCUUCUCCUCCUUUCUUCCUCUUCUGUCUUCUGUGUCUUCUGUCUUCUUCCUAUUUCCUCUCAUCCCUCAUGAACUUGGACUCUUUCUCUCUGUACAUUUUUAUCAUGGAAAACUCAGUCUUUGCUGUGCAAAUGUUUCUCAGAGUUCCAACUCUAGUCAGUGUCUUUUUUCCAUAACUACAGAGCUGCUUUUCAAAUACCUGCUUGGCAUCUCUAUGUGGACAUCCUGACGGCACCUUAAACCGAAUAUGUCUGAAGUUGCAUUUAUGAUCUUAUUCCCCUGCAAAUUAGCAUAUCCUUCUGAUAUGCUUAUCUCUAAGAUUGGAAACCUGAGCUAGUUUUGAUUCUUCCUUUCUUGAUAUUCUAUAGCUAAACAAUUGAUCUUAAGUCCUCUCCCUUGAUAUCCUAAUUAUCCAGUCCCUCCUUCCCAUUCCUGCUUCCCAAUGGUUUCCCAACCUUCAGUGUCCCCCUGUUACCGUCUAGCCUACAAAUGAUACUUAGAUGAACCUUCAUCCUUAAUCACCGAAGCAAUAACUUACUUGCAUUCUCAAAAUCUCCCACUGGGAAACAUUAAAUAUAAACUCAUGCUUGGCAUCUGAGGCUCUCUACCACAGAUGAUCAAGUUAUCUUUUGGGACCUAUUGCCCUCUAUUCCUUUGUCCCUGAGGUUGUGCAUGAAUGGCCCCAAAAAGCCAGAUCUAGCUUGCAGAUAUAAUUUUCUUUGGGAAACACAAUGGCUUUAUAAAUUUUGAAUUAGCUGCUUAUUUCAAAUUAGUUGUUAACAUUUAUACAUUGGAAGGUUUUCUCAUGUAGAAAUCCAGAUUCUGGCUUCUGGAUCCCAACAUGAAAAGUUGGGAUGUCUGGCAGCUUUGAACCUGCAUGGCACAAAGGGCUGAGGCUAGGCAGCCAGAGCCCUUUGAAAGGGAGAAACAGGCCCCAGUUCACUACAGCCUUCACCUGACUGGUGUCACUCAAUCUGGUGCUGGCUUGGUGCCUUCAUGCACGUGGAUUUAUGACACUUGCUCUAGAAUACCUAGUGCUCAGCCAAGUGCGACAUUCCCAAAUGCAUAGUGUCUUUACUUCUGUUUCCCCCUCUUUCUGAAAAUGCCCUCUCCUUCCUUCUUUCCUGUCUUUACGGCCCAUUUCUAACACCAUAUCUUCCUUGAAGCUUUCUGUGAGCACCCCGCUGGAUGUGACUGCCCGUUUGUAAACGUCUGUAACACUCUGUGGCUUUCUUAUGGCCCAGAGCCCACCCUCCUUGGCAUCACAGUCAUAUCCUUGCUUUCUCCCUGUUUCUCAGGAAGAGAUAGAGAUGUACACUUUUCCCCACUCCUCAGGCUUUUUCAAAAAGGGGUUUUCCUCUUGACCUAGACUUUCUUUCUCCUCUCCAUAGAGAUGAAGAGCAUCUGUCCCCACCUCCCUUUCUCCUCAGGGACCUGCCUGUCUACACAGUGAAGAGGCCUUGUUAUGCUUGGCAGUAAAGGCGCUGAUGUGCAGGUGAAGAUGACCAGACAACUUUCUUUCAGCUUUAAGUCAGCCUCCUCUCCCUCUUCAAAGCCCC